GCCAGCGGCCAUAUCACCCUGCAACUCACAACUGGCAACCCACUGAAGCUCAGCAGGAGUGAGCCUUGCCAGUACCUGGAUGGGAGACCUCCUGGGAAAAACAGGUUGCUGCUGGAA
rnacentral:rRNA from 1 species